rnacentral:rRNA from 1 species
UACGGGGGGGGCAAGCGUUGUUCGGAAUUACUGGGCGUAAAGGGCGCGUAGGCGGUUCGAUAAGUCAGCUGUGAAAACCAUGGGCUUAACUCAUGGCCUGCAGUUGAGACUGUCGGGCUGGAGUGUGGGAGAGGAGAGUGGAAUUCCUGGUGUAGCGGUGAAAUGCGUAGAUAUCAGGAGGAACACCGGUGGCGAAGGCGGCUCUCUGGACCACAACUGACGCUGAGGCGCGAAAGCUAGUGGAGCAAACAGG